CCUACGGGAGGCUGCAGUGGGGAAUAUUGCACAAUGGGGGAAACCCUGAUGCAGCGACGCCGCGUGAGUGAAGAAGUAAUUCGUUAUGUAAAGCUCUAUCAGCAGGGAAGAAAAUGACGGUACAUGAGUAAGAAGCACCGGCUAACUACGUGCCAGCAGCCGCGGUAAUAAGUAGGGGUCAAGCGUUAUCCGGAUUUACUGGGUGUAAAGGGAGCGUAGACGGAAGUGCAAUGCUGGAGUGAAAGGCGGGGGCUCAAACCCCGGACUGCUCUGGAAACUGUACGGCUGGAGUGCAGGAGAGGUAAGUGGAAUUCCUGGUGUAGCGGUGAAAUGCGUAGAUAUUAGGAGGAACACCAGUGGCGAAGGCGGCUUACUGGACUGUAACUGACGUUGAGGCUCGAAAGCGUGGGGAGCAAACAGGAUUAGAUACCCGAGUAGUC
rnacentral:rRNA from 1 species